rnacentral:lncRNA from 1 species
UCUGCCUCCUUAGUGUUGGGUCUAUGGGUGGGCACCACCCUAUCCAUUGAAAAUGAUGAUAUCUCGCAGUCCCCAAGUCAGGGUUACUCUGCAUAGUCCUGGCUGUCCUGAAACUCACUCUGUAGACCAGGCUGGCCUUACAUUUAAGAGAGCCACCUGCUUUUCCUUAUUCCCAAGUGCUGGGAUUAAAGGUUUGCACCAACACCACCCAGCAAAAGCAAUGAAGUUUUACUGAAGGGUAUAAAACAAUGUUUCUAGGUGGAAAAAAUUUAAAGCUACUUUUAAAACAUUUAUUUAAUUUGUAUGUGUGUGUGUGUGUGUGUUCACACGUGUGUGUGCUCACAGGCUCACGUGUCACAGUGAGUGUAUAGAGAUCGGAGGACCAUUUGUGGGAGUCAGCUUUCUCCUUCCACCCUGUGGGUGCUGGGGUUGAGCUCCAGUUGUCAGGCUUGGUUGGCAGGAAUCUUUAUCCACCGAGCCUGUAUAGAAAAAUCUUAAUAUGUAAAAGAUCUCAACCUUCCUCACAUUAUACAUCUUAUGGAAUACUAAUCAGAAUUUCAGAAUUUAUGUUGCAUCUUAAAGUUCAAUUGGAAAAUGUGUGGGAGAGUAGCUAAGACAUUCUCUUGGGAAAGAAUGAGAUAUUAUUUCCUUUAUCAAAUAUGAAACAUGCUACACCAUAUUCAAAUUUAAUGGUACUAUUUGUUUUUUACUUUUUCUUUUUGAAACAAAGUCUCACUCUGUAGCCAAGACUGUCCUUAAGCUGGUAGUGGUCCUCCUGCCUCAGCCUCCUGGGGCUGGAAUUAUGAGUGUGUAUGAUCAUAUCCAGAUCUCUGGUACUAUUUGGUUGUUGUUUUGGGUUUUUGUUUGUUUUUGAGACAAGGUUUCUCUGUGUAGCCCUGGCCUUGCUCUGUAAACCAGGCUGGCCUUGAACUCAGAGAUCUUUCUUCCAGAGUGCUGGGACUAAAUGUGUGCACCGUCACCAUUCAGCCUCUGGUACUAUUUCUGAACUUACCGAAAUUAACUUGGGUUUCCUUGGGAAAAGGGAUGGUUUCCAGUCUUGGGCAGGAAGCAUAAGACAAGAGACAGGAGGGGUAGAGUACACUUGGAAACAUAGGUUUGUAGGGUGAUUGAGAUUUUAAGGGGCGCCUGGGCUUCAUAGAUCCUGCCUCAAAAAAAAAAAAAUGGCUGGGGAUGUGUUUAGCGGGUAGAGUGCUUUCCCAGUAUACAUGAAAUGGGAUUAAAGGCGUGCACCACCACGCCCGGCGAGGCCCUGUUUUUUUGUUUUUGUUUUUUUUUUAAAUAUUUAUUUAUUUAAUGUAUGUGAGUAUGUUGUCACUCUCUUCAGACACUAGAAGAGGGCAUUGGAUCUCAUUACAGAUGGCUGUGAGCCACCAUGUGGUUGCUGGGAAUUGAACUCAGGACCUCUGGAAAAACAGUCAGUGCUCUUAACCGCUGAGCCAUUGCUCCAGCCCCAAGGCCCUGUUUUUUGGUUCUGUUUUUAAAUCGGGCUAGGGAGGUGGCUCAGGUGGUAAAGUGCUUGCUACACAAGCACAAAGGCCAGAGUUGGGGUCCCCAACACUCCCACACAAAGCUGGGUGCUGUGGUGCACAUCUGCCGUCCUGACUCUGAAGGGUGUGCAGAGACAGACGGAUUUCUGGAGCUUACUGGCCAGCUAGUCCACUCUGUGAGCUCUAGAUUCAGCUAGAGACCAUGUCUCAAAAAGUGAGGUGGAGCUGGGUCUUGUGACGCACACAUUCAAUCCCAGCACUGGGGAGGCAGAUGUCAGUGAAUCUCUGUGAGUUCAAGGAUAGCCUGGUCUACAUAGUGAGUUCCAGAACAGUCAGACAGAGCUAGGUAGUGAAAUCCUGUAUAUAAACAAACAAACGAAUAAACAAAU